AGGUCUGUCAUGGAAUGUCAUGAUCAACUGAUAUCGCUGGAAUUUCCAAACUUGGUUGGAUAUGGACUUCACUUCAAAGAAGCCAGAGUCACAAUAUACGAGAUGACAAUCCAUUCCUGGAGCGAGGGCCAGCGGUCCAUCCGAACCAAGAUUAUAUAAUUGAACAGCAUUAGGUAACCCAGAUAGACGGAACUGCACCCAGUGCUAGAUGGAGAAAACAGAGUUAAACUUCAAAAUACUUCAGUUUCUUCUGUGUAAAGCAUUUGCCACUGAAGGAAAGCAUAAAAACAUCAAAAAGUGUUCUUAGAAAAUACUGCAUAACUUGCAUAUGAAUAAGGCCACAUAUCUCAGAGCUCAGCUCAUCAGUAUAUAUAUGAGACCACAUCUCUUCAGCUCUUGUUUCCUCCCAUCUGUAACCUGAGCACUUUGCCCUAAAGCUGUUAGAAAAUAUGAAGCAGAUCUGAGAGGAAAAUUAAGUUUCCUUUACACUUCCUUCAUAUAGGGAAAAGCUGCUUAUCUGCUUUGGAAAACAUAGGCCUUUGUGCGUAUAUAUUUUACAAUUGACUUUAGCUUCCACAUAGAACCCUGUUCACUAGGGUUGCCAAUUUUGUAUUAUAACGUAU